GUGGAUAUCCGAGCGUCGGAUGCUGGCCAAGUCUUGGACAUGGGACAGCUGCAGUCCCGUUCGUGUGGAGAGGCAGGUCCGGGUCAUGUGGAUCAUGGGUGAUCAAAUCAGCUAUUAGUGCGUGAGUGCAUGUAGUGGAGCAGGGCGUGUGCAUAAGAGCCGGGCAGGUUGUUGCCUGGCUGUGUGCGUGUGUGUGUGAGCUAUAUAUAGCCAUGUACGUGUGUGGUGUGUCCACCGAGGUUUGUAGCCAUGUAGCCACUGUAAAGAAGAAAAGGAUUGGAGCGUUCGUGCGCCCGUGGCGGCGUUCGUGCGCCGGUCGGAAAAUUUUGUGUCCAUUGUUCUUCUUCUUCCACCUCCGUUCGAUUGUGAGGAGAGGUAGCUAGAGGGCUGCGGUUCCAACAUUUGGUAUCAGAGCCGGUUUCAUCUUGGGUGUCGCCUCUUGCCGGAGGCGUGCCGGCGGUGGCAGCGCUCGCCGGCGGCUGCGCGAUGGAGCUCCGGGCCGUGUGUCGGCCCAUGGAGGUGGGCGGCGUUGUGGCUCUCAUGGCGCGUGGCGGAUGCGGCGGGCGGUGAUGUCGUGCGUGCGGCGACCGCGGAGGCCGCCGAGGCGCUGCGUGGUGGCGCGGCGGCGCAGCACGGCAUGGCGGCAUGGAGGCCGCGGCGGUGCAGGGCAAUAAGACGCGGCGGCGAGCCGGGCGCGACCGGUGCGUGUUAUGGGUGCGCACUGGACGUGUCGGGCGCGUCGGGACCGCGGGAGUGGACCGCGUCGAGGCGCUAGACCUGGUUGCGCAGAUCACGUACGUGCACGGUGGGAGCGCGGGCCGGGAGCGCGGGGACGUGAGGAGUGCGCGCGAAGGGCACGGCGGUCGCGGAGACGAGAAGGUCGCGAAGGACCUGCGUGGUGGCGCAGAGGUCGCGACGGCUCGGAGCGACAACCAUGGAAGGUGCGUGGCACGGAGGCGCGGCGUGGCGGCUGCCAUGGCGAACGCGGAGGCGGCACGCGGUGAGCGUCUGGUGCUGUCGGGCUCGUCGGGCGCGUUGAGUGUGCGCGGGACGUGCGGGACGCACUGGUGCGGUCGGGCUCGUCGGGUGCGUCGGGUGCGCGCGGGACGUGUGGCGCUCGGAGGGACGCCAGGCGUGUGUCGCCGGCGGAGAAGGAGCUCGGCGUAUGUCGCCGGGGUCGUGACGGAGCACGGUGCGACCGGCGUCAGUGCGCCAUGUCGGGUCCGUGGCGGUGCGACCGGCGUCGAUGCGCCGGGUCGGGUCCGCGGACUGGGUCACGGUUGUGACGACGACAACAACGAGAGCUGCAACAACUUCGGCGGCGGCAAGGUCGUAGUUUAGGGGGAGAGUGUUAGCAAUAAACCACGCAUUGUAUGGGUCAUGCGCGUAGUUAGUUGUAGUGGAUAUCCGAGCGUCCGAUGCUGGCCAAGUCUUGGACAUGGGACAGCUGCAGUCCCGUUCGUGUGGAGAGGCAGGUCCGGGUCAUGUGGAUCAUGGGUGAUCAAGUCAGCUAUUAGUGCGUGAGUGCAUGUAGUGGAGCAGGUCGUGUGCAUAAGAGCCGGGCAGGUUGUUGCCUGGCUGUGUGCGUGUGUGUGUGAGCUAUAUAUAGCCAUGUACGUGUGUGGUGUGUCC
rnacentral:lncRNA from 1 species